GACGUAGGGCGCGAGCGUUGUCCGGAUUUAUUGGGCGUAAAGAGCUCGUAGGCGGCUUGUCGCGUCGACCGUGAAAACUUGGGGCUCAACCCCAAGCCUGCGGCCGAUACGGGCAGGCUAGAGUUCGGUAGGGGAGACUGGAAUUCCUGGUGUAGCGGUGAAAUGCGCAGAUAUCAGGAGGAACACCGGUGGCGAAGGCGGGUCUCUGGGCCGAUACUGACGCUGAGGAGCGAAAGCGUGGGGAGCGAACAGG
rnacentral:rRNA from 1 species